UGGGGGAUAUUGGUCAAUGGGGGAAACCCUGAACCAGCAACGCCGCGUGAAGGAUGACGGUCUUCGGAUUGUAAACUUUUGUUGUUGAGGAAGAUAAUGACGGUACUCAACGAGGAAGCCACGGCUAACUACGUGCCAGCAGCCGCGGUAAUACGUAGGUGGCAAGCGUUGUCCGGAUUUACUGGGUGUAAAGGGUGCGUAGGCGGGAGAUAAAGUCAGAUGUGAAAUACCGAAGCUUAACUUCGGGGCUGCAUUUGAAACUUAUCUUCUUGAGUGAGGUAGAGGCAAGCGGAAUUCCUAGUGUAGCGGUGAAAUGCGUAGAUAUUAGGAGGAACACCAGUGGCGAAGGCGGCUUGCUGGGCCUUAACUGACGCUGAUGCACGAAAGCAUGGGGAGCAAACAGG
rnacentral:rRNA from 2 species